GCUGGCAAUUCUAAAUUUCAUUUUGACCCACAACUUAUUUUUUUCCUUUUUUCUAAUGGGAGUAUCUACCUACAGACGAGGGACAGCUAUAGAAAAAUGCAGUGCCUUUAUACAAUUUGUACCUGGCACGAUGAGAGGCAACUUGUGUGUUUAUUCCCUAUUUGCAAAAAAUAACUCUCAACAUCAUAAUGUCAUUAAUGAAUCAGUACCACAACAUUGUGUUGUGGACCUGACCAAUAUCCUUAUUUUAUCAUGGAACAUUUGAACGACAACUCUAUAGGACUUAAAUUAACCUCGGUAGUAUAUGAGAAGGAACUAGUGUUUCUAGAUCUGAUGAUCUCUCUAGAUGAAGCAAUUUCUGUAAAUAAAGAUGAGUCAAUUUCCAUCCAGUAUCCUUAAGGGGUCCCAUAAUGGUGAAUUAGGCAUGUCCCCCCUACAUUUUUUGUCUUCUGUAAAUAAUUUAUAAAUAUUUAAAUUCAUGCAUCCAUUUACAAAAGACUAAGAAAGAAUAAAAAUGUAAUUGAAAUAUAUAUAUUUUGAUGAUUUAUUUUCCCCUUUUAUUUGCAAUUCUUCAUUUUUUAUUUC